AAGUAUUGUACUAACCCCCUUAAAAAAACAGAAAGAUGAUGUCAUAGCUAGGUUUAAGAAGUGCAGUAUUAAAACACAAGCCGUGAGUCUUUUAAACCUAAUGUGUAAAGGCACUAUGAGUUAUAACUCACACAUACAAUU
ensembl:snoRNA